GAUGAACGCUGACAGAAUGCUUAACACAUGCAAGUCAACUGUGGCGGACGGGUGAGUAACGCGUAAAGAACUUGCCUCACAGAUAGGGACAACAUUUGGAAACGAAUGCUAAUACCUGAUAAUGUGAGAGAGCUUUGCGUCCCAUUAGCUAGUGGGAGAGGUAACGUCUCACCAAGGCGAUGAUGGGUAGCCGGCUUGAGAGGGUGAUCGGCCACAAGGGGACUGAGAUACGGCCCUUACUCCUACUGGGGGCAGCAGUGGAGAAUAUUGGACAAUGGACCAAGAUCUGAUCCAGCAAUUCUGUGUGCACGAUGAAGUUUUCGGAAGGUAAAGUGCUUUUAGUUGGGAAGCAGUACCAACAGAAGAAGUGACGGCUAAAUACGUGCCAGCCGCCGCGGUAAUAC
rnacentral:rRNA from 1 species